CACGUAGGGUGCGAGCGUUGUCCGGAAUUAUUGGGCGUAAAGAGCUCGUAGGCGGUGUGUCGCGUCGGCCGUGAAAACCUGCAGCUUAACUGUGGCGUGCGGUCGAUACGGGCAUCACUGGAGUUCGGCAGGGGAGAGCUGGAAGUUCCUGGUGUAGCGGUGAAAUGCGCAGAUAUCAGGAGGAACACCGGUGGCGAAGGCGGGUCUCUGGGCCGAUACUGACGCUGAGGAGCGAAAGCGUGGGGAGCAACAGG
rnacentral:rRNA from 1 species